AUCUUCUGUAGUUAAUAAGCUUGUUUUUGCUUUAUCUAAGACCAGUGUGUGGGAAUCAUAACUCGGGGAGAAAGCUGCUGCAUAUUCCCUCUCCACAUUGAGGGAGGGGGCGAAUUUUAUGAGCUUACGCUGCACUGUUCCUGGUGCAGCACAAAACAGUAUAAUUUUGGGUUUAUACUCCAGAAGGGGUGUGUUCCUUAGGAACUGGGAGGUGCCCUAGUUGAAACCUUCCCAUGCAGGGGCUGGUUAAAGAACCUGUCUGCAUGUACUGCAGCUGGGUGUGUCCCUACCUGUAUGUAUGCUGGUGAAAGUGCAGGCUGAAGCCUGGAAGACUUGGCUGCUUGUCAAUAGCAGUACUGUACAGUGAAGAAGGGAGCCCAGGCUGGUGGAUUAGGGGGCUCAGUUGUACCCCAGUUCCAGGUGGCACCCUGGGGGGAACCCGUCACAGAUGCACCCUUGAAGCCUGAGUUUAAAGGGCGCGUUGACACUUUUGAAAUCUACUCAGUUUAAAACAUAAGCUAAAUAAAUUAGAUACUGUGUCUGCCCAGACUCCCCUGCCAAUGAUUUUACAAUUACAGCUUGCCUUUUUAAAAAAUAAUUGUUUCUCUGUUUCCUGUUGCUGUGUGAAAGAUCCACACAAACGGGAGAAACUGCUUGCCUAUACAGGAAAAAGCAUGGAACUUAAAAUACACUAAGUGCUGUCAGAUGGGCUAGUCUACAGUAUGGUGCUUAAAUAAGGGCUUGUCUACAUUACCCGCUGGAUUGACAAGCAGCGAUGGACCCAGUGGGAGUCGAUUUAUCGCAUCUAGUCUAGACGCAAUAAAUGGACUGCUGAGCACAUCCGUCGGCUUCGGUACUCCACUGGAGUGAGAAGUGGAGGCGGAGUUGAUGGAGUAGCGUCAGCUGUUGACUUACCACAAUGAAGACACCAGAGGUUAAAGUGAAGGAGCUGCGGAAUGCCUACUGCAAAGCCAGCGAGGCAAACGGCCGCUCGGGUGCUCCCCCCGUGACCUGCCAAUUCUACAAAGAACUGGAUGCAAUUCUUGGAGGUGAGCCCACCUCCACUUGGAGGGCCACCAUGGACACUUCAGAGCCCAGUUCAACAAGGCAGGAGAGUAAAGCAGGAGCGAGGGUGUUGAGGAGGAAGGAGGCAGCCCGGCAUCCCUAAAUGCUUGCAGCCAGGAGCCGUUCUCAAGCCAGGAGGAAGGUAGCCAGUCACAGUGGCUGGUGCGUGGGGAAGGACAAACACCAGAGGAGGUGUCUGAUGCAACCUUGAGAUCUCAGCUGUCCAUGUUAUCACCGGCCGAAAGACUCCAAAGAAUUAGGAAGAGGCCACGUAGAAGCAAAGAGGAUAUGCUGCAUGAAGUAAUGCAGCAGUCACGUAAUGAAAAUCAAAAAGCACAGGAGUGGCG